UGAGGAAUAUUGGUCAAUGGGCGCAAGCCUGAACCAGCCAUCCCGCGUGCAGGAAGACGGCCCUAUGGGUUGUAAACUGCUUUUCCAGGGGGAGAAUUUUUCUGUCGUGACAGGAAUUGACGGUACCCUGGGAAUAAGCAUCGGCUAACUCCGUGCCAGCAGCCGCGGUAAUACGGAGGAUGCGAGCGUUAUCCGGAUUUAUUGGGUUUAAAGGGUGCGUAGGCGGAUUGAUAAGUCAGUGGUGAAAACCUGCAGCUUAACUGUAGACCUGCCGUUGAUACUGUCAGUCUUGAGUGUGGUCAAGGUAGGCGGAAUGUGUAAUGUAGCGGUGAAAUGCUUAGAUAUUACACAGAACACCGAUUGCGAAGGCAGCUUACUGGGCCGUUACUGACGCUGAUGCACGAAGCGUGGGGAUCGAACAG
rnacentral:rRNA from 1 species